rnacentral:rRNA from 1 species
ACGGGAGGCAGCAGUGGGGAAUUUUGCGCAAUGGGGGGAACCCUGACGCAGCAACGCCGCGUGCGGGAUGGAGGCCUUCGGGUUGUAAACCGCUUUCAGCAGGGACGAUUAUGACGGUACCUGCAGAAGAAGCUCCGGCUAACUACGUGCCAGCAGCCGCGGUAAUACGUAGGGGGCGAGCGUUAUCCGGAUUCAUUGGGCGUAAAGCGCGCGUAGGCGGCUGCCUAAGCGGAGUUUCUAACCUUGGGGCUCAACCUCAAGCCGGACUCCGAACUGGGCGGCUCGAGUGCGGUAGGGGCAGGCGGAAUUCCACGUGUAGCGGUGAAAUGCGCAGAUAUGUGGAGGAACACCGAUGGCGAAGGCAGCCUGCUGGGCCGACACUGACGCUGAGGCGCGAAAGCCGGGGGAGCGAACAGGAUUAGAUACCCUGGUA